rnacentral:rRNA from 1 species
GACGAACGCUGGCGGCGUGCUUAACACAUGCAAGUCGAACGGAAAGGCCCUGCUUGCAGGGUACUCGAGUGGCGAACGGGUGAGUAACACGUGGGUGAUCUGCCCUGCACUUCGGGAUAAGCCUGGGAAACUGGGUCUAAUACCGGAUAGGAGCCAUUUUUAGUGUGAUGGUUGGAAAGUUUUUUCGGUGUAGGAUGAGCUUGCGGCCUAUCAGCUUGUUGGUGGGGUAAUGGCCUACCAAGGCGGCGACGGGUAGCCGGCCUGAGAGGGUGGACGGCCACAUUGGGACUGAGAUACGGCCCAGACUCCUACGGGAGGCAGCAGUGGGGAAUAUUGCACAAUGGGCGCAAGCCUGAUGCAGCGACGCCGCGUGGGGGAUGACGGCCUUCGGGUUGUAAACUCCUUUCGCUAGGGACGAAGCUUUUGUGACGGUACCUAGAUAAGAAGCACCGGCUAACUACGUG